rnacentral:tRNA from 1 species
GAGGUAGUGGCUCAGAGGUAGAGCAUUCACCUAGCACAUCAGAGGCCCUGGGUUUGAUCCUCAGCACCACA